UGGCUAACUCCUACGGGAGGCAGCAGUAGGGAAUCUUCCACAAUGGACGAAAGUCUGAUGGAGCAACGCCGCGUGAGUGAUGAAGGUUUUCGGAUCGUAAAACUCUGUUGUAAGGGAAGAACACGUACGAGAGGGAAUGCUCGUACCUUGACGGUACCUUACGAGAAAGCCACGGCUAACUACGUGCCAGCAGCCGCGGUAAUACGUAGGUGGCAAGCGUUGUCCGGAAUUAUUGGGCGUAAAGCGCGCGCAGGCGGCCUUUUAAGUCUGAUGUGAAAGCCCCCGGCUCAACCGGGGAGGGCCAUUGGAAACUGGAAGGCUUGAGUACAGAAGAGAAGAGUGGAAUUCCACGUGUAGCGGUGAAAUGCGUAGAGAUGUGGAGGAACACCAGUGGCGAAGGCGACUCUUUGGUCUGUAACUGACGCUGAGGCGCGAAAGCGUGGGGAGCAAACAGGAUUAGAUACCCCGGUAGUCCAGCUGG
rnacentral:rRNA from 1 species